ACUAAAAGUGUAAAAUGCGAGUCUUUAAUUGAGUGUUGACUAGUUUUUUCUGUAUCUUCUUCUAUUUAUAGUGUCAGAGUAGUGGUAGCCUUUUCCUUAAGACCUAGUACAUUUUGUCGAAGAAUCAGAGAUCUCACGAAACUCAUGGCACGGUCUUUACUCCAUGCUCUCCAUUUUGGUAAUCAGCCCAUUUCAUCGAGAUACUUGAGCGUGAGGUCCAUAGAUUUUGGCAUUACUUGAAAUCAUGUCUUUUGUGCCAACGGUCUAAUGUUAACAGCUGACAAGAUUUCAGCAUAUUUAUUUAUUGUGGCCUUUAUUGAGCAUCAGGGUUGGCCCCUUUUGUUUAUAUUGGGCUUGAUGCUUCAGUUACUCAGCCCAACUAGCCCUGUGACCUACGUUGAGCGACGUUUUAUAUUUUAGCCCAAACAAUGCCCCUCGCGUGCCAGUGGUUGAUAACGUAAGCCAUGUGGCACGUUUGAAAAAACUGAAACGUCACUUCAUUUUUGAGCGCCCUUUGUUAAUAUAAACUCAUUUCUUUUUCAUGGUCACUUCUCUUGUCCUUUAUACCAUUUCUUGACCAUCAAGCAUUUACUCUUUUGCAUCCCUCUUACUUUAGCUUUCAAAUGGCUUCCUCCACCUCUGCCGCUUCUUCUAUUGCCGCUCCAUCUUCCACAUCUGCCGAAAGUUUGCCUGAUUCUCUGGUGACUAUUCGAAAUCCCGUUACCCCACUUGGUGGGUUUGUGACGGAGGAUUCUUCAUUCCAUGAAUCGGUGGCUUUUUGGUAAGUUUCUCGCUUCUCGUAUUUAACCCUUUUGUUUUAUUGGAAAAAUAUGCUAACUGUUCUUUAUGUUUAUCCAAUACUUCUCCUUGGAGUUUUCAAAACUCUAAUAAAAGCGACGUUGGGUACUUGACCAUCUCUCCCAACCUGUCUGAAGUCACAGCCCCUACUCAGCCAAACCCAUGGCCACUGACCUCCAUACAUAAUUUGGUUUUGGCCUGGAUGACCUCGCUCUUCCCUGAGUCGUCCUGCAAAAAACUCAAGAACUGGCCCCAGUCUCCUCGUGCUUGGGUUAACUGGGUGAGGUGCUUGAAGCCGGAGUAUGUGCCCUAAUGGAAGGAGAUGGGUCUUUCCGAUCUGAUUGAGUUAUCCCUGGCUGAUGUCGAUGUCCCAAGCAAGCUUCUGAUGGCCCUCUUAAGUUUCUGGGCUCUGGGCUGCAACGCCUUCAUAUUCAAGCUCAGCCUCAUGUCCCUCAUGCUAUGGGAUGUUUUCAUAUUCCUAGGGCUGCCCAUCACCGAGGAUUAGAACUUCUAUGCAAUCCCCGAGAAGCAUGACUGUUAUACCGUUCUCUCAGCUGACUUGGAGAGCAAGAUUAGAAGUACGAGCUCCUACACAAGGAUCAUGGAGCUAUUCUCUGAGAAGCCAAUUGGCGAGCUCGUCACCCCCACAGAGCACUUGGUCUUCAUUUGGAUCCUGUUGAGCCAAUGGAUCCUGGCCCCGGGGGGAGGGAAGCCCAUGCAACUGCACUUGAAGAUUGCUCAGUCCCUUCUCUAUGGCAAUCAAAUAGCCUUGGGGAUGAUGUUUUUGUGCCGCCUCUAUGACAGCCCUUCAAUAACUUCUACGGGCUUGUUUUUUUUCUGAAGUUAUGGACGACGGCCUACUUUCCUCUUCUUCGGCAGGAGCCUUUUCUUGAUGAUUCCCGCGCCAACCACCCCCUCACCUGUCUUCUAGGUAGUCAUCUGCUGAUCGACUCAAAGAACUUUUUCAAGUUCUUUAGCUAGUAGAGCUGGUCCUUAGGGAGGACCUUGAAGGCUUUCAAUAUUUUGGAACGUCACCUCCCCACCUGGUACAAGUAUAUGAUGGACUAGAAGAACAAGCCCGCCAAUCUAAUAAGGGAUGAGGUUUUCCUCUCGGCCACUACUCCCAGAAGAUGUGGCUGCCAUAUACUGGCUCUUCCUCCAAGUCUCUAAGACUCUACUUGGAGUCCUAUCAUCCUCAACUGGUGGCGGGCCAGUUUAGGUUGAGCCAGUGCAUACCUCGGGGCCUAUCCCCCCAAAUCAGUGUGGAGCUGCUGGAUAGGGAGGCUAUUGACCAUAUAGCCAUUCCAUACACCGCUCAAAGGCAGUGUAAGGUGGAGCUUGUAGAUAAAGAUGCCUACCUCCGCUUCAAUAAAUGGUGGCCCCAGUGCUUUAGGCGUAUAAUAAAGAGCCAUACCAUCAUGAUUGGACACAAUCUCACACGUUGAUGAUGUUUUUGAGGGGAAACAUUGAUGCCCCUACUGCUUUUGAGACCUAAAUGGCCCCCUCGCUGAGGAUUAGGGUCCAAGGGAUAGAUCAAGAUAACACCUCCUCUCAAGUCUCGAUCCCCAGGAAGCCUGGGGCUAAGAAGAUCCCCUCAAGUCACCUAAACAAAGGAGAUGGUCCUGACAAGAGGAAGCAGGCUCCCUCUCCUUCACCCGACGCUAAGAGGAGGAAGAAGACAAUACCUCCUCCCCUCGAUCAACCUUCCUCUACUCCUCUCCUAAUUGGUCCUACUCCUUAGAGGGGAAAGUGUAUGCACAAGCACCAACGGAUGAAGAUCCUAUCAGUAGAAUCUAGCAACAACAGGGUAAGUCCUCUUCAUCAUGGGAAGAUCAGCUCCUAGAUCCCCGAGCGGUCACUUCCCCUUGCUUUGCCAUUCCUAAGCCAUUCCCUGUGGAUCCUACUAAAGUUGCUCAGGACAUGGCCCGGGAGGCGAUGGAGCAUGCUGAAGAUUUGGGGGUUGUUAUGUUUGCUGUGACCCUAAGUGGUACUGUCAGUCCAGAAGACCUCAGGGCUGUAGUUGGCCAGGGAGGAGCCUCAUUACAGCCCUGAGCGGUGAGUUGGAGCUGAAGUCCAAGGUCCUGCUUUCACUGAGGGCCUAAGGAUGGUUCCUCCUAUUAGUUUGAUCCCACCCACCAACUCACCAAGCACUCAAGAGGUCAGGGGCUCUGAGAGGUCCCUUGAGAGAUUUUAGGCGGUGACUGUGGAUAACACACUAGUUGCCUUGGCCGCCACUCAAGGCAUUUUAGUACAGAGUCAGAUUGAUUCCUCUACUCUUGGGCCGUGUAGAGAAGGGCCUGUGAUCGGUAGCGUGGUCUGCAUGCACUUUGUUGGAAAUUGUGCCUUAGGGCCAAUCAUUGUACUAUGCACAUUGUUAUUUAAUAAAUUUCUCUUUUGUUGUCAUAACAAUUGCAUGUUCAAUAUGAUAACUGUAGCCCUGGACAAACUAUAGUGAUUG